GCAUAACGCGAAGAACCUUACCAAGGCUUGACAUGCAUCUCUAAGCGCGUGAAAGCGCGUGACCCUUCGGGGGAUUUGCACAGGUGCUGCAUGGCCGUCGUCAGCUCGUGUCGUGAGAUGUUGGGUCAAGUCCCGCAACGAGCGCAACCCUUGUGACUAGUUGCCAGCACGUUAUGGUGGGAACUCUAGUCAGACUGCCCAGAUCAACUGGGAGGAAGGUGGGGACGACGUCAGGUCAGUAUGGCCCUUACGCCUUGGGCUGCACACGUACUACAAUGCCCAGCACAAUGAGAACCGAGACCGCGAGGUGGAGGAAAUCUAAAAAACUGGGCCCAGUUCGGAUUGGAGGCUGCAACUCGCCUCCAUGAAGUUGGAAUCGCUAGUAAUGGCGCAUCAUCUACGGCGCCGUGAAUACGUUCCCGGGUCUUGUACACACCG
rnacentral:rRNA from 1 species